CGGGGGCCCCGCACGAGCGGUGGAGCAUGUUGGUUUCAAUUCGAUGCAACGCGAAGAACCUUACCUGGUCAUGACAUCCACGGAAGUUUUUCAGAGAUGAGAAUGUGCCUUCGGGAACCGUGAGACAGGUGCUGCAUGGCUGUCGUCAGCUCGUGUUGUGAAAUGUUGGGUUAAGUCCCGCAACGAGCGCAACCCUUAUCCUUUGUUGCCAGCGGUCCGGCCGGGAACUCAAAGGAGACUGCCAGUGAUAAACUGGAGGAAGGUGGGGAUGACGUCAAGUCAUCAUGGCCCUUUCGACCAGGGCUUCACACGUGCUACAAUGGCGCAUACAAAGAGAAGCGACCUCGCGAGAGCAAGCGGACCUCAUAAAGUGCGUCGUAGUCCGGAUUGGAGUCUGCAACUCGACUCCAUGAAGUCGGAAUCGCUAGUAAUCGUGGAUCAGAAUGCCACGGUGAAUACGUUCCCGGGCCUUGUACACACCGCCCGUCACACCAUGGGAGUGGGUUGCAAAAGAAGUAGGUAGCUUAACCUUCGGGAGGGCGCUUACCACUUUGUGAUUCAUGAGGGGGGGAAGUCGUAACAAGGUAGU
rnacentral:rRNA from 1 species